rnacentral:misc_RNA from 1 species
UCUCCGUUGGUGAACCAGCGGAGGGAUCAUUACAGAGUUUUCACAACUCCCAACCCUUGCGCACCGUACCCAUUCUUUUCUCGGUGCUUCCGGCGGGGAGGACGGGGGGGCCCGAAACGGCCGCCCCGCCCCGCCCGCCGGGGGCGGCGGGCCCUACGAACCAUUAUAUCUCAACCACCCGAAAACGUCUGAGUAAACAAACAAAAUAAUCAAAACUUUCAACAACGGAUCUCUUGGCUCUG